UCGUUUAUUAUUAGAGUUUUUUGUGUAUUUACUCAGUGAAAACUUCAAAAUCAAAGAAAAAAAUCUUUGCUCAAAAUGUCUUAUGGAAACUAUUGUAUGGUGAGGAACUGUGGAAACUGUAGUACGAAAGAUUCUCCGAGUUUUUUGAAUUUACCAUAAAUAUCUGAACUACUCUGAAGUGAAUAGGAUUUUCAGUAUGUCCAGACAUUAACUUGGUGAACUGCAGUAAAAAAGUUUCUCCUGGAAUACGUAGAGUCAUUAUAAUUUCUUUGAGGUUGCAUCUCCUAAAUACUGAGCAGAAAAAAGAAAUUUGUUCUCUGAUGUACGAUGAAAUUAGUCUAUCUGAAGAGUUGCACUUUGGCGAUCACCACGUUGUCUAUGCGUAAGUGGUGAGACAAGCUGAGGAUGGUAUAAAAGAGUAAGUCCAAAACUUCAAGUGAAAAAAACAGAGCAAUACAAAGUACUAGAGAAACCAACAGGUCGAAUUUGGGAAUAAUUUUUAAGUUUAAAUCUGAUUUUCUCAAAACCAAAUAAAAUGCACUUGUACUCCUAGGCUCUUAUACUACAAUUUUAUACAUUAGAAUAGAUACACGUAUUUCAAUUUAUCACUGAAUUUUAUCAUUUAUAGCUGGAUAUAUGUAUUAUUAGGUUGAUAUGCAAUUCAUGUUAUUAGUGAAGUUAUUUGCAUUUUGGAGUUGACUUGUUAUUCUUACAUAUCUUUACCGAUAUACAGGUUACACCUAUGUAAAUUUGUUUUUAAUUGUGGUUCUGAAAAUUCUGUAACUAAUAUGUAAAAGAAUUCUUGAGAUAUGUUGUAUCGAAUAUUUGUUCAUAUUAAUUUCUGAUAAAAAUUUUA